ACAAAUAAAAUUACAGUUUGUGCUUGCAUUGGAAGCAUGUGUAUAGAGAAGAUUAGCAUGGCCUCUGUGCGAGAAUAACAUCAAAAUUUGUGAAGUUUUCCACAAUUAU